rnacentral:lncRNA from 1 species
AAGAUGACCCUACAGUGGUAAAGGCCUUGCCAUGGGAAUAAGAGCAGCCAUAGCUACACUACCAUCUGAGAGUAUGAAUUUCAAAGUAUGGAAUAAUGGCAAAAGUUUUACGAUGCAUAAAUUGCAAAAGUUUUACGAUGCAUAAAUAGCAAAAGUUUUACGAUGCAUAAAUGGCAAAAGUUUUAUGAUGCAUAAUCAUAUUUAUGAAGUUGCAUGAAUGGACAUGCAUAGUUUUAU